UACGGAGGGGGCGAGCGUUAUUCGGAGUUAUUGGGCGUAAAGGGCGCGUAGGCGGCUUGAUGUGUCAAAGGUGAAAUCCCUCGGCUCAACUGAGGAACUGCCUUUGAAACUGUCUGGCUUAAGGCCGGGAGAGGGUAGCGGAAUUCCCAGUGUAGCGGUGAAAUGCGUAGAUACUGGGAGGAACACCGGUGGCGAAGGCGGCUACCUGGACCGGUUCUGACGCUGAUGCGCGAAAGCGUGGGUAGCAAACAGG
rnacentral:rRNA from 1 species